AUUGAACGCUGGCGGCAGGCCUAACACAUGCAAGUCGAGCGGAUGAAGGGAGCUUGCUCCUGGAUUCAGCGGCGGACGGGUGAGUAAUGCCUAGGAAUCUGCCUGGUAGUGGGGGAUAACGUCCGGAAACGGGCGCUAAUACCGCAUACGUCCUGAGGGAGAAAGUGGGGGAUCUUCGGACCUCACGCUAUCAGAUGAGCCUAGGUCGGAUUAGCUAGUUGGUGGGGUAAAGGCCUACCAAGGCGACGAUCCGUAACUGGUCUGAGAGGAUGAUCAGUCACACUGGAACUGAGACACGGACCAGACUCCUACGGGAGGCAGCAGUGGGGAAUAUUGGACAAUGGGCGAAAGCAUGAUCCAGCCAUGCCGCGUGUGUGAAGAAGGUCUUCGGAUUGUAAAGCACUUUAAGUUGGGAGGAAGGGCAGUAAGUUAAUACCUUGCUGUUUUGACGUUACCAACAGAAUAAGCACCGGCUAACUUCGUG
rnacentral:rRNA from 1 species